rnacentral:rRNA from 1 species
CGGUAACAGGAAGCAGCUUGCUGCUUCGCUGACGAGUGGCGGACGGGUGAGUAAUGUCUGGGAAACUGCCUGAUGGAGGGGGAUAACUACUGGAAACGGUGGCUAAU